GUUGUGGCUCAGUGGCAGAGCGCUUGCCUACAUGCAAGGGGCACUGGGUUCGAUCCUCAGCACGACA
rnacentral:tRNA from 1 species